CCAGAGAUCUGCAGGGGAGGGCGAGGGAGGAGAGGCGGGAGAGACAAGUAGGCUGGAGUUAACACUCCCAGAGCCUCCGGGUCUGGCCAUCACCGCCGCUCCCCAGGCUGCCCGCCCUGCAAGACCUCUCACACCGGCUGGGGAGGGGUCACGGCAACAAACAGCAGCCUCUUUGAAACCUCGGUGUUUCCUGGUCUGCGUGGGGCUGAUGUCAUUCCUGGAACUGGAACCUGGGUGAGUCCCAGGUGGGAAGAGGAAGCCCGGCAGCCGCCUUUGCUCUCCCCGCCCCCUGGCUCACCGCAUCCCCACACACCUGUGGUCGGCGAACAGGAAGCAAGUGGCUGGAGAUAAGCUCUGGCUUCUGCCACCUUACACAGGCUAGAGGUGAGGGUUUCCACUCCUCCUUUAGGUCACACAGUCCGAGGACCCAAGGGAGGGGCUCGGUGGACCUUGAAUAAAGUCCCUCAUCCCGCACAGCCUCCCCCUUGACACCUGGAACUGAGUCACAGAUUCCUCCUUCCCUGGCAGUCCCAGUUGUCUGCCUCCCUUAGGGAAAUCUCUGGGGAACAUAUGGACUCCCUCUGACUGCCCAGGGCAACACAGACCCCCUCAUCCUGCUGCAGAGAACAGACAGCGGAGCUCUUUCAGCCAUGAGGCCAUUUGAUUGAGCGCCUGUGCUGGGCAAAGGGCUGGGGAGCCUCCAGACACUCCUGGAGGUCUCCCCUGCCCCAGCAGUCCUCCAGCUCACUUCUCCGCCCUUCCUCGCCGGGUGGCUGCCCUGAAGGGAGCAGAAGUGCAUUCGCGUCAGCUCCAGCAGACCAGCCCGACACAAAGGAGAGCACCCUGGGCCUGGGUCGAAUCACUUCUCUCUCUGGAGGGGGGCGGGGGGGGGGGUGGUUUGGAAUAAGGAAGCUGGAGGCGUGGCCCUGCCCCAGCCCUCUUGCAAAGGAGAGUCAUCAGAUGUCCCAGGCCCCAAAUGCUAGCACAUCUGCAGAGGUUCCACUGUUUUUGAGGGACCUGGCAAGACCCAGGUGUUGGCUCUCUGGACAGUUCAAAAGGUCUGGCCAACCUUGUUCCUUUGGACAAACUUCCUUUGAGUUUCUCUAGGCAAAGCAGAGGCCCAGCUGGCAGGCCCUCAGCAAGCACUGCGGCCACCGCGGAGCCAGGCCUGUCAGACUCCCCUGCCUCACCCUCCGCAUCCUGGCAUGCAGCUGAUGACUAGAACGAAUAGGGGCGGUGCAUUUCCAGUGGCCAGCUGGGUGGGCAGGAGGCCCUGCUCAAGUCAGCGUGGGGAGGUAGACUAGUUAUUUAAUCACCCGCUUCCAGCGCCAUCCACACCCACUCUUCUGGAGUCUAUAUAGAGAGCAGAGAGCAGUCUCCAGGAUAUACAUAGACAGAGCCGAGACACAACUACUAUAUUUCUAGAUGUCUCUACUGCAGCUCUCUCUAGAUCCCUCUCCUGUGACAAACCUAGAGAGAGACAGGGCUUUAAACGGGGGCUUAGGGGCCUGGGUUCUAUUCUUGGCUCUGACGCAGGCAUGCUGUAUCACUCUGGGCAAGUGGCUGUACCUCUCUGGGCCUUCAUUUCCUUAUUUGAGUGUAUAAGAGGUUAAUAAAACUUUAAUACUUAGA